rnacentral:tRNA from 1 species
GGAUAGAUGGGUGAGUGGCUUAAACCACAGGUUUGCUAAACCUGCGAAGGGAGUAAUCCCUUCCGAGAGUUCGAAUCUCUCUCUAUCCGCCA